rnacentral:rRNA from 1 species
ACAGGUGCUGCAUGGCUGUCGUCAGCUCGUGUCGUGAGAUGUUGGGUUAAGUCCCGCAACGAGCGCAACCCUUAUCAUUAGUUGCUACGCAAGGGCACUCGUAAUGAGACUGCCGGUGACAAACCGGGAGGAAGGUGGGGAUGACGUCAAGUCUUCAUGGCCCUUAUGGGUAGGGCUUCACACGUCAUACAAUGGUCGGUACAGAGGGUUGCCAAGCCGCGAGGCGGAGCCAAUCCCACAAAGCCGAUCGUAGUCCGGAUUGUUCUCUGCAACUCGAGAGCAUGAAGUCGGAAUCGCUAGUAAUCGCAGGUCAGCAUACUGCGGUGAAUACGUUCCCGGGUCUU